AUUGAACGCUGGCGGCAUGCCUUACACAUGCAAGUCGAACGGCAGCACGGGAGCAAUCCUGGUGGCGAGUGGCGAACGGGUGAGUAAUAUAUCGGAACGUGCCCAGUCGUGGGGGAUAACGCAGCGAAAGCUGUGCUAAUACCGCAUACGAUCUACGGAUGAAAGCGGGGGAUCGCAAGACCUCGCGCGAUUGGAGCGGCCGAUAUCAGAUUAGCUAGUUGGUGGGGUAAAGGCCUACCAAGUCGACGAUCUGUAGCUGGUCUGAGAGGACGACCAUCCACACUGGAACUGAGACACGGUCCAGACUCCUACGGGAGGCAGAAGUGGGGAAUUUUGGACAAUGGGCGCAAGCCUGAUCCAGCAAUGCCGCGUGCAGGAUGAAGGCCUUCGGGUUGUAAACUGCUUUUGUACGGAACGAAACGGUGAGCUCUAAUACAGUUUGCUAAUGACGGUACCGUAAGAAUAAGCACCGGCUAACUACGUGCCAGCCGCCGCCGUAA
rnacentral:rRNA from 1 species